UGUUUGAUGCCUAGUGGAUAAGGAGAUUGACUAGUGCUCAGAUGGUUGCUGGUUCAAUCCCCAGCUCCACCAG